rnacentral:rRNA from 1 species
UACGGAGGGUGCGAGCGUUGUCCGGAAUCACUGGGCGUAAAGGGCGCGUAGGCGGCGCGGAAAGUCAACGGUGAAAGCUUGGGGCUCAACCCCGAGUCGGCCGUCGAUACUUCCGUGCUCGAGCACUGUAGAGGCAGGUGGAAUUCCGGGUGUAGCGGUGGAAUGCGUAGAGAUCCGGAAGACACCGGUGGCGAAGGCGGUUCACUGGGCCUGUAC